rnacentral:rRNA from 1 species
AUUGAACGCUGGCGGCAUGCCUUACACAUGCAAGUCGAACGGCAGCACGGGAGCAAUCCUGGUGGCGAGUGGCGAACGGGUGAGUAAUAUAUCGGAACGUGCCCAGUCGUGGGGAUAACGUAGCGAAAGCUACGCUAAUACCGCAUACGAUCUAUGGAUGAAAGCGGGGGAUCGCAAGACCUCGCGCGAUUGGAGCGGCCGAUAUCAGAUUAGGUAGUUGGUGAGGUAAAGGCUCACCAAGCCGACGAUCUGUAGCUGGUCUGAGAGGACGACAGCCACACUGGGACUGAGACACGGUCCAGACUCCUACGGGAGGCAGCAGUGGGGAAUUUUUGGGACAAUGGGGGGCAACCCUGAUCCAGCAAUGCCGCGUGAGUGAAGAAGGCCU